CCUACGGGAGGCAGCAGUAAGGAAUAUUGGUCAAUGGACGCAAGUCUGAUCCAGCCAUGCCGCGUGAAGGAUGACGGCCCUAUGGGUUGUAAACUUCUUUUGUAUGGGAAAAAACCCUUCUACGUGUAGAAGGCUGAUGGUACCAUAAGAAUAAGGAUCGGCUAACUCCGUGCCAGCAGCCGCGGUAAUACGGAGGAUCCAAGCGUUAUCCGGAUUCAUUGGGUUUAAAGGGUGCGUAGGCGGAAUGAUAAGUCAGUGGUGAAAUCCUGCAGCUUAACUGCAGAACUGCCAUUGAUACUGUCAAUCUUGAGUAUAUUUGAUGUGGGCGGAAUGUGUCAUGUAGCGGUGAAAUGCUUAGAUAUGACACAGAACACCGAUUGCGAAGGCAGCUCACAAAACUAUAACUGACGCUGAGGCACGAAAGCGUGGGUAUCAAACAGGAUUAGAUACCCUGGUAGUCCACGCUGUAAACUAUGAUUACUCGAUGUUUGCGAUACACUGUAAGCGUCUAAGCGAAAGCGAUAAGUAAUCCACCUGGGGAGUACGCUCGCAAGAGUGAAACUCAAAGGAAUUGACGG
rnacentral:rRNA from 1 species